rnacentral:rRNA from 1 species
AGAGUUUGAUCAUGGCUCAGGAUGAACGCUAGCGGCAGGCUUAAUACAUGCAAGUCGAGGGGCAACAGGGGUAGCAAUACCUGCUGGCGACCGGCAAACGGGUGCGGAACACGUACAGAACCUUCCUUUAAGCGGGGGAUAGCCCAUAGAAAUGUGGAUUAAUACCCCAUAGUAAUAUUGACUGGCAUCAGUUGGUAUUUAAAGAUUUAUCACUUAAAGAUGGCUGUGCGGCUGAUUAGGUAGUUGGUUGAGGUAACGGCUCGCCAAGCCUGCGAUCAGUAACUGGUGUGAGAGCACGACCAGUCACACGGGCACUGAGACACGGGCCCGACUCCUACGGGAGGCAGCAGUAAGGAAUAUUGGUCAAUGGACGCAAGUCUGAACCAGCCAUGCCGCGUGAAGGAUGAAGGCCCUCUGGGUUGUAAACUUCUUUUAUCUGGGAAGAAAUCACUUCUUUAUAGAGGUGUUGACGGUACCAGAGGAAUAAGCACCGGCUAACUCCGUGCCAGCAGCCGCGGUAAUACGGAGGGUGCAAGCGUUAUCCGGAUUCACUGGGUUUAAAGGGUGCGUAGGUGGGCUUGUAAGUCAGUGGUGAAAUCUCCGUGCUUAACAUGGAAACUGCCAUUGAUACUAUAGGUCUUGAAUUUUCUGGAGGUAAGCGGAAUAUGUCUGUAGCGGUGAAAUGCUUAGAUAUGACAUAGAACACCAAUUGCGAAGGCAGCUUGCUACAGGGAUAUUGACACUGAGGCACGAAAGCGUGGGGAUCAAACAGGAUUAGAUACCCUAGUAGUCC